GUGGUGCCUGCCGCCGCCGCUGGGAGCCCCGCCUGGCGAGCGGCACGCAGCCGGGCUUGCAAGGAACUCCGUGCGCGGGCGUGUUUCACCGGACCGCCACCGACGUGCUGUACGCAGGGGCGCCGGAGGGGACGGAGACACCGGGACGACGAACCCCCCGCGUGCAACGAUCUUUGCUGUCCUCUAUUAUUUUGAAUUUGAAUUUCUGUUUAGAGAAUGCCUUUGUAUUACUCCUUCAGCUAUUGAGAUACAUCUCCGCUGCAUAUGGAAGGCACAAUAAAACUAAUUAAAUAACAACCAAGAGCCGUAGCACGCCCAUCUAUUACUAUUACAGAAAUACAUUAAACUGUGAGGAACUGCUCUUUAAGAAUCAUCGCAAGGGGUGCACGACCAGCUAAUUUCUCCCAUGAUGGACUGUCGCCUCGUACACCGGGGAGCCGGGAGAGAGCAGGCUCACAAGCACGGCCGCCCCACUUCGCAGGCGGGGAGAGAACACGGACCUGUAAGCCCAGGUUUUGAGCAAGGACGCACCAAGGGAAGGGGACGAUGGAUGAAAUCCAGAACGCCUGGAGCUGCGGCACGGGGCACGUGCAGCCCCUGGGCCACCGCCUGCCCCCCCAGGGCGAGAGCCUGGGGAAAGCCGGGUACGGCGCGGUUGUACCCCCUGGCUCGGUUUGGAGCAGAGGGUGACGCAGGCCGCUCCACCUACUCCCAAACAGCCUUGUCACUGCCAGCCACGAACACUUAGAGGAACAAAAACAAAAGAAAGAAGGGUUAGAAGUGGAGGAUUGUUGUUGGAAGGGAUGUAUGUGAUACAAAUGAGCGAUUCUAUGCAGAAAUCUACUGAAUUUCACAGGGGGUAAUGAAUUAAAUGAAGUGGAAAACAUGGCAUGAACUGGAGAUUUGCCACAGUGACUAAUGUAAUUAACCUCUACUGAAAUAAUUAAGCCUCCUGAUCUGUCCUGCAUAAGCAGAGCAACCAAAAGGGCAGGUGUGAGUCGACCCCGCGCCGCAGCCGGGGCACGGGACCACGCCGCGGGUGCUGCCCCUCGGUGACAGCCUUUGGCUCCGCUCCCGGCGGCUCUCCCCCCACUCCGCGGCGCUGCUGCUUGAUGGGCACCAAGGAUUCAGCUGGAGACAGGGGCAGCUCCUGGCAGGGACCCCAGCGCUGAGCGCGGGCACCGUCAGCAUUGCCGGAGCACUCCCAGAUCCGCAUCCUGGGUCGGUUUCUCAGGCUUUGCGAGACAUCGGCGCUCGGGGGGAGGAGCAGGGGCACCCUGGGCUGCAGAGCUGAGGGGCUGUCUCCCAGAGCUUGGAUCAACAGCCUCCAAAUCCACUCUUCCUCAUCCUCGCACGCCCUGUCUCAGCAGGAUCCUGCUUUACAGCUCUGCCCGCGGCACAGAGGGAAUAAACCACACUGGUUUAGGAAAAAAAGAUCUUGGUCACAAAUAUCCCACAAAAUGCCGUGGCCCGUUCCUCUCGGACCUGCCCUGUCUCCUCAUAAACUGUCACAUUUUCCUUCCUUCAGCAAAGGAUUGCUUUAUGCCAGUCAGUAAAGCAGGGUUUUGUUGUCUCUA